UUUUAAAACUGUUUCAUAAGAAUGAGAGGAUUUCUUUUGUGAAAAGUUUGCAUGUGGAAUAUUUGCUAGUACCAGUUAAAGCCAUUACCUUUGUGCUUAAUUGAGAGAGGGAAAUUGAUUUGUGGUGUGUCUUGAAAUAAGAGCCUCUUGUGUUUUUGAUUUUCUUUACUUUGAGGACAAACAAAGUUUCUAAGUUGGGGGUGAUGAUGAGUGGUGGAUUUCACCUCAUUUGGGAAUUUUUUUCGUAGUUAUUUUGGCUUGAAUGGUGGAUUUCACCUCAUUUGAGGCUCUUUUCGUAGUUAUUUUGGCUUGCUUUAGUUUUGAAUUGAUGCUUUUAAUGUGGUUUUUUUUCUUCAUAUUUGCAUGAAAAUGAAAUGGAGAGUUGAUUUAGGAUAUUUGAAGAAACCAAGUGCACUUGAGGCAAAAAGAGGUCAAGAGAUUUCUGGCAGGGAAAGGGAAUAAUUUACUGUGACUUAAAGCCAUCAAACGUCCUGUUGGAUAAAAGUGGAAUGGCGAAGCUGUGUGAUUUUGGAUUAGCAAGAAAAUUGAGUGAAAUAUUAAAGGCACCUUCCUCCCAGAUAUUCUUUGGCAUCCAUCUGAUCUCUCAGUCCGACCUAUAAUGCCUAGCAGAAAAUCAAAUAAAGGUCAGAAUUCUUCGUUCUCUAGGUCAUGCAAAUGUAUUGAAGUUCUACUCCUGGUGAUAUUUGCAUGUAACUCCUUUCUUUUUCUUCAAUUUCGUUUCUAUGGUAAAGGUCCUUUUGGUGUUUAAUAAGAAGAUUUCUCUGACUUAUUUUCUAAUUCAACCGAUCCAUAAGUAUGGAACAUCUGCACACCUGUGGUUGGUUUUAGAAUAUUGUGUUGGAGGAGAUCUCAUGAGCUUGUUGCAGCAGGUAAACACUGGCAGGUCUGCUAUAUUAUAAAAACAUUUCAUUGUUCCAGUGGUAUAACGGCUGUGUUGGCAUAUAGGAUGCCUUAUGCUGACAUUAGACACGAACAUCCAAAAUUUGUGACAACACCCUAAUUCUUUUUUGGCUUAUUUUUAGUAGAGGCGUGGGAUAUUGAGGUUUCAUGGUAAAUUUGUUGCAUGCCUACAUUGGGAUUUCCCAAACAGGCACUAAGGACGUCGGUGUCAUGUGCAAUUGAAUACUUAAUUAGAGAUAAUUGUUUGUAGUCUCACAAAAUACAAAUAUAGGUUCUCACUCUUUGGACUAACUUGUUUCUUGUGCCAGCAAAAUGAUGUGAAAGAAAUAGGUUUCUUUUUUGAUUUGUUUAUAAAGAGUGGUCAAAAUGACCAUAGUUUACUGUAGUUGGUAAUGUCACAAAUUGCAUCUUCAUCAUCUUACCUGUAUUUUAGUUUAAACCACACCAGGGAGAUUUUAACAUCAUUUAAUCUCUGAGUUGAAGGAUGGUAAGCUUCCCGAUGAUUCAAUACAUGAUCGAGCUCGUGGCCUUGUUAGAGCUCUUCUAUACUUGCAUUCAAAGGGAAUAAUUAAUUGUGACUUAAAGCCAUCAAACAUCCUGCUAGAUGAAAAUAGAAUCAGGAAGGUAUGGUGAUCUUUAUAUUGUGACUUUUCCACGUCAUGACGAGUGCUUUUGACCAAUUAUAUGACGUUGAAGUUCCAAUUGUUUCCUGGAAGCUGUGUGAUUUUGGAUUAGCAAGAAAAUUGAGGGGUAUGUUAAAGACACCUUCCUCCCAGGUAGUUCACCUCUCUCUCCCCUCCUUCUUGCCAUAAAAUGAACAAAGGAUAAGUUAAAUUGGUGGCAGCUGUUUGGAAGUUCACUAAAGGUAAACUGUUUGGAAGUGCUUUUGACCAAUGAUAUGACGUUGAAGUUUCAAUCAUGCUUCCUUUUCCUCUUCCAGUUCUUAUAAAAAUAAGAUUUCUCUGAUAUCUCAAAACCAUCUAGGAACCUUUCAGAAAUUCUUAGGCAUCCAUCUUAUCUCUCAGUCAGAUCUGUAAUGCCUGGCUAAAAAUCAGAUAGAGGUUCAGAUGCAAUUCCUUCACUUUCAUUUGAUGCACCUCAACUGUCUGAUUUUGUCAAAAUGUCAGAGGAGCAAUUAGACUCUUUUAAUAGUUGAAUCAUCAGUAUUGUUAGUGGGAAUACUCCCUCAGGCGAGAAGCAAAGUGUGAUCAGAUACUUUGAGCUUUUGAGCAGCAAUGCUGAUGCAGCCAACACCUUGACCAAUGGGUCUAUCGUGUUGGUUCUA